rnacentral:rRNA from 1 species
AUUGAACGCUGGCGGCAUGCUUUACACAUGCAAGUCGAACGGCAGCGCGGGCUUCGGCCUGGCGGCGAGUGGCGAACGGGUGAGUAAUGCAUCGGAACGUGCCCAGUAGUGGGGGAUAGCCCGGCGAAAGCCGGAUUAAUACCGCAUACGACCUGAGGGUGGAAGCGGGGGACCGAAAGGCCUCGCGCUAUUGGAGCGGCCGAUGUCGGAUUAGCUAGUUGGUGGGGUAAAGGCUUACCAAGGCGACGAUCCGUAGCUAGUCUGAGAGGACGACCAGCCACACUGGGACUGAGACACGGCCCAGACUCCUACGGGAGGCAGCAGUGGGGAAUUUUGGACAAUGGGGGCAACCCUGAUCCAGCCAUGCCGCGUGCGGGAAGAAGGCCUUCGGGUUGUAAACCGCUUUUGUUCGGGAAGAAAUCCUCUGGGCUAAUACCCCGGGGGGAUGACGGUACCGGAAGAAUAAGCACCGGCUAACUACGUG